AUUGAACGCUGGCGGCAGGCCUAACACAUGCACGUCGAACGAGUGGCGGAAGGGUGAGUAAUGUCUGGGAAACUGCCUGAUGGAGGGGGAUAACUAAUGGAAACGGUAGCUAAUACCGCAUACCAUCCGAUGUGGCCAGAUGGGAUUAGCAUGUAGGUGGGGUAACGGCUCACCUAGGCGACGAUCCCUAGCUGGUCUGGGAGGGUGACCCGCCACAAUGGAACUGAGCCACGGUCCCUACUCCUACGGGAGGCAGCAGUGGGGAAUAUUGGACAAUGGGCGAAAGCCUGAUCCAUCCAUGCCUCGUGUGUGAAGAAGGUCUUCGGAUUGUAAAGCACUUUUAGUUGGGAGGCGUUACCAACAGAAUAAGCACCGGCUAACUCCGUGCCAGCAGCCGCGGUAAUAC
rnacentral:rRNA from 1 species